rnacentral:rRNA from 1 species
UGACACCUACGGGGCGCAGCAGUGGGGGAUAUUGCACAAUGGGGGGAACCCUGAUGCAGCGACGCCGCGUGGGUGAAGAAGCGCCUCGGCGCGUAAAGCCCUGUCAGCAGGGAAGAAAAUGACGGUACCUGACUAAGAAGCCCCGGCUAACUACGUGCCAGCAGCCGCGGUAAUACGUAGGGGGCAAGCGUUAUCCGGAUUUACUGGGUGUAAAGGGAGCGUAGACGGCAGUGCAAGUCUGAAGUGAAAGGCAAGGGCUCAACCCUUGGACUGCUUUGGAAACUGUGCUGCUGGAGUGUCAGAGA